rnacentral:misc_RNA from 1 species
CCAAUGUUGCAUAUACGCAACACGAAGUUUAUAUAAUUAAUUAUCAGUAAUUAUUUUUUUUCACGAAGUGUUAGACUAAUUGUGAAAUAAGUUCAUUUUGACUGCAUUUUGUGAAGUUAAACUUCCUGUUGCGUAUACGCAAUAUUGGGAAGAAAUGGUGGGUUAAGUACGCAACAUCGGUGCAUCGUCAUCAGUGGGAUAUAUAUUAGUGAUUGAUUACGAUUUUUUUGAUUAAACAUCAGUGAUUGAUUAAGAAUAUAUACAUACAUUAAACACGCAAAAUCAGUGCAUCGUCAUCAUCAGUGGGAUACAUUAGUGAUUGAUUAGGAUAUUUUUUUAUUAAACAUCAGUGAUUGAUUAAGAAGAAGUUUACGAAUUUGCGCAGAAAGAAGCUUCGGACAUUCCUACUAUAGAAAAUCUCAAGGACUUCACACCGCCGCGAAAAAAGAAAAAAAGCAUCGGUUGUGGCAUUGCCGGAAAAUACAACUUAAGAAGGACUCGGAUUUUGUUAUAGACGCGACACGGAAAGGGAAUAAAAUAAAGUUCACUAAUCACUCG